UUAGGUGGCUGUAGGCCUCAGUGUUUGUGGGCUAGCGCCCCUCAGGAGGCUGGGGACUAUGCCUGGCCCAGGUCCCAUGGCUGGAAUACCUAGCAGCUUUCCCCGGUUACCAUGGAGACCCCAGGGAGAAGAGGAGGGAGGUCCUCUCUGGUAUCAUCCAGCAGCUUCUAAGUUUCUUUCCUCUUGGUCUAAGCUGUGGCCCUUCGCCCAGCUGCCAGUGCCACCCACACUGGGCCCCUGGCGGAGGAAAGAGGAGCUCUUGACCUCUGGGGGCUUCGGGCUGCGGGCGACCCGCGGCCACGGAGGAGGAGGGAGCGGGCUGUGCCUCGCGGCUGGCCAGGCAGAACUGCCAUGAAGAAAAUUAUGAGGUGAAUUAAACUUUAAUUUGAUUUUUAUUUGGUUUCAGCAACCAAUAAAGGGACAGCAAUUUUCCAAGUCCUGUCAGCGGUUGGAGGAAUGCUUUGAGAACAUCUGUUUUAUUAACAGCGGCAACAAUAAAAGCCGAUCCCGUGUUUGUAGCGGAGAUGCCUUCUCAGGGCUUCUCAAGGUCACCUAGAUGACGUAGAGUCACAAAAGCUGGGAUGUGCCAACCGUGGCUUACCGUAAGGUCUUGCUCGUGCUCUGUCUCUCUCUGCCUCAAGUACCCCAAUGUUUAUAGCAGCGCUUUCAACAACAGCCAAAUUAUAGAAAGACCCUAAAUGUCCAUCAACUGACGAAUGGAUAAAGAAGAUGUGGUUUAUAUAUACAAUGGAAUACUCCUUGGCAAUGAGAAAGAAUGAAAUCCUGCCAUUUGCAGCAACGUGGAUGGAACUGGAAGGUAUUAUCCUAAGUGAAAUAAGUCAGUCAGAGAAGGACAGAUAUCAUAUGUUUUCACUCAUAUGUGGAUCUUGAGAAACUUAACAGAAGUCCACAGGGGAAGGGAAGGGGAAAAAAAUAGUUACAAACAAAGAGGGAGGAAGGCAAACCACAAGAGACUCUAAAAUACAGAGAACAAACUGAGGGUGGAUGUGAGGGGGGGGUGGGGAAAAAUGGGUGAUGGGCAUUGAGGAGGGCACUUGUUGGGAUGAGCGCUGGGUGUUGUAUGUAAGCCAAUGUGACGAUACAUUGUAUUAAAAAAUAA